rnacentral:rRNA from 1 species
GAUGAACGCUGGCGGCGUGCUUAACACAUGCAAGUCGAACGAAGCACCUUGAUUUGAUUCUUCGGAUGAAGAUCUUGGUGACUGAGUGGCGGACGGGUGAGUAACGCGUGGGUAACCUGCCUCAUACAGGGGGAUAACAGUUAGAAAUGACUGCUAAUACCGCAUAAGACCACAGCACCGCAUGGUGCAGGGGUAAAAACUCCGGUGGUAUGAGAUGGACCCGCGUCUGAUUAGGUAGUUGGUGGGGUAACGGCCUACCAAGCCGACGAUCAGUAGCCGACCUGAGAGGGUGACCGGCCACAUUGGGACUGAGACACGGCCCAAACUCCUACGGGAGGCAGCAGUGGGGAAUAUUGCACAAUGGGGGAAACCCUGAUGCAGCGACGUCGCGUGAGCGAUGAAGUAUUUCGGUAUGUAAAGCUCUAUCAGCAGGGAAGAAAAUGACGGUACCUGACUAAGAAGCCCCGGCUAACUACGUGCCAGCAGCCGCCGUAA